GCAGAUUUCAUCAAUAAACAAGAUGGAUUUCACAUUUCAAUUACGCGCCAAAACAUCUGUAUGUUUAUAUAUCAAUACACGUUCACGCUAAAACAUAGGUUAGAAGUCAACGUACCGUCGCGUCGACGCACAGAAUUUUCCGUGUCAAGCCAAUUAAAGUUCAAUCAAUGUUAAUUAAAGUGUAUACCUAAUGUUAAUUAAAGAUAAAUCCCAAUAAAAUAUAUCACGGUUUCUAUGAUUUCUAUCCGCGAACGAUUAUACUGCGCAGAGAUCACAAUCGUCGAGAAGAAUCGGUUAUAUGUUAAUGUGCGAUCCAGGUGUCCGCUUACCAAUCUCCUGACAAGAUUAAUUUACGGUUUUGCUCGGUGUAUCGCGCUAAUUAACGAGCGAAGAUAACGAUGCAUCUACGAAGUAUAACGUGGAAUAAUCGUGAACAUAAUAAACUCUCUCAUCAGUGUAAUUGCUGCUUAAGUGACAAUGCUGUGAAAAUACUUUUUCACUUUAUUAUGAAACACUUCUGAAUCGCAUUCCGUAGCUUCAUUUAGAUUCCAGAUGCAAGAUUGUUGCUUGGAACACUUUCAUAUUUUAUCGUGCAUAUAUUGCAAUAUACAGGGUGGAACAUACUGCUUGGGAAAUCUUUUAUAUUGUUCGGUAUCCGUAUAAUGUUUGCUCUUAUUUUGUUCUUCGAUAACCAGAUUUUUAGAUAGAAUUGUUUGUGCGCGUUAAUUGUAACAUCGCUGCAACAUUGCGUUACAGGUUAGGUUCCACAGAUGACUUUCCUCUUAAAAGUAAACCUCACUUUCAAUUAAAAUAUUGAAAUUAAUAAUUUAAGAAAAUUUUCUUGUUAAAUAUUAUGUUAUAAAUUUCGCGUAAAAUGUCUUACGAUUAUCCAAUUAUCUACAAGCUUUUCGAUGGAGUGAAAGAACUUCCGUACGUUUCAUUAGAUUUCUUUUGAUACAUUGAAGAGAAUUUACAUUUUACAUGGAAAUAAGAAAUAAACAGCACUGUUCCACUUGACAAUGCACACUCGUUCGAAUAAUAGAAAUUUAAUGAAGAAAAGGGAUUGAUUUACUCAGUCGCGGUCGAUUCUACGUUCCGUUCGGUGGAUCGAUCGACCAUCCGUAAAAAUUUCACCGACGUUCCAGAUUUUCGCAACGCAAAUGAACGGUCGAUUAUCGAUUGCUCCGCGACCGGUGAAAUCGAUUCUCAAGAUCGCCUAUUAAGGGGAGAACGUAAUUAUUCUGUCGAUUAUAUAGUCGGCGGAUAUCGGCCGCGACGCGUGUUCCUCUUUUUUUUUUUCUUCCCUCUUUUGUCUUUUCAAACGCCACGCUUCGUUCGUCGUUCUUUCUCUUCCCCCGUGUUACAUAAACGGUGGUUUUACGAAAUUUCUUUGUGUUCGUCCCGUUUUUAGACUCGUUAGGAACUUCGGUUCCUGUUAUCGAACACGGUGAGUUCUUUUCAAAUAUUUGCUGGUUUGUUGACGGGUCUUUCAACACCUUGAACGUUGCGAGGGUCAUUUAGGAGCGUAUUGAGAUUUUUAGAGAGCUAACGUUUCUAAUGAAAGAUUUUGGUGAAGCUGUGUUGGAAUUUGGUGUAUUGGUGGAAUUUGGAAGAUUGAAAAUUUUUUGUUAAGAUGUUAGAAUUUAUGUAGGUAUUUGCAAGAUUUUACUGUUAUUUAUUACUGUCUAUUGUUAUGUAUAAAAUAAUAUAUUAUGAUAU
rnacentral:misc_RNA from 1 species